UCGUUAACAAAUUAUAUAACAUCUUCCACUAUAUCAACCUUAGUGCACAGAACAUAUUUUCUCAGGCAUUUCUCUCUCUCCCCUUCUCCAAGCAAAAGAGAAAGCCAAAAUCUUUCAUGAACUGGCAGCUUUGGCUUGUAAGCAAGAAGGCAGGAACUUGGUUCGUCUGCAGUUUCAGGAGACCUCUGCAUAUAAUCAUUCAAAUCGCUCAUAUUACAAUGAUUUUCGAGACCGGUGAGAUGAUAUUGAUUAGAAGAUCUAAAAUCGUCAUGUCAACCAUGAAAUCUUAUGUAACAAUCAUGCACAAGUAAAUUGUAUUUCUUUUGGGGGCUUCAGUUAGUAAAAUUAUUGUCGGUUCCAAAAGGAAAAUAUUGUAUACCAAUUAUAAUAUAUGAUUUGCUUAAUACAUCUCUAUUCUGGGCUCCA